rnacentral:rRNA from 1 species
UGACGGUACCUGACUAAGAAGCCCCGGCUAAAUACGUGCCAGCAGCCGCGGUAAUACGUAUGGGGCAAGCGUUAUCCGGAUUUACUGGGUGUAAAGGGAGCGCAGGUGGCAAGGCAAGUCAGAAGUGAAAACCCGGGGCUCAACCCCGCGGAUUGCUUUUGAGACUGUUUAGCUAGAGUGCAGGAGGGGCAAGCGGAAUUCCUAGUGUAGCGGUGAAAUGCGUAGAUAUUAGGAAGAACACCGGUGGCGAAGGCGGCUUGCUGGACUGUAACUGACACUGAGGCUCGAAGGCGUGGGGAGCAAACAGGAUUAGAUACCCUG